rnacentral:rRNA from 1 species
AUGGACAACAAGAAUGGCGUCAAGGUCACCUACAUCGAGACGCAGUUCGUCACCUCCGACGCCGCGGGCUUCAAGUCCCUCGUGCAGCGCCUCACCGGCAACUCACCCGCCGCCGCGCCCGCGCCCGCGCCACAGCUCCACAGGCCGCGGCCCCGCCACGCCGACGGGUGGAGCGCUGCCACUGCUGGACCGUCAAGCUAUCGCAUGCCCGCCACGGCAGGCCCGGCCAGCGCAGCGGCGAAUGACGCGCGGACGGCGGCGGCCGCUGCCCACGCCGGCGCCGCGCAGCCGUGCCUGGAUGAGCUGCACGGCCUCUGCGAUUACACGGAGCUUUUCACCGUCGUCGGCGCGAGCGAACGGCAGCGUGACGGCAGUUACAGUGGUUUCCCCUAUUGA